ACGAUGGGCGCUAGGUGUGGGAGGUGUCGACUCCUUCCGUGCCGAAGCUAACGCAUUAAGCGCCCCGCCUGGGGAGUACGGCCGCAAGGCUAAAACUCAAAGGAAUUGACGGGGACCCGCACAAGCAGCGGAGCAUGUGGUUUAAUUCGACGCAACGCGAAGAACCUUACCUAGGCUUGACAUGUUGGUGACAAACGUGGAAACACGUCUUCUUCGGACACCAUCACAGGUGGUGCAUGGCUGUCGUCAG
rnacentral:rRNA from 1 species